rnacentral:rRNA from 1 species
CCUACGGGGAGCAGCAGUGGGGAAUAUUGCACAAUGGGGGAAACCCUGAUGCAGCGACGCCGCGUGAGUGAAGAAGUAAUUCGUUAUGUAAAGCUCUAACAGCCGGGAAGAAAAUGACGGUACCUGAGUAAGAAGCCCCGGCUAACUACGUGCCAGCAGCCGCGGUAAUACGUAGGUGGCAAGCGUUGUCCGGAUUUACUGGGUGUAAAGGGCGUGCAGGCGGGACGGCAAGUCAGAAGUGAAAUCCAUGGGCUUAACCGGGGAACUGCAUUUGAAACUGUAGGUCUUGAGUGACGGAGAGGUAGGCGGAAUUCCCGGUGUAGCGGUGAAAUGCGUAGAGAUCGGGAGGAACACCAGUGGCGAAGGCGGCCUGCUGGGCUUUAACUGACGCUGAAGCACGAAAGCGUGGGGAGCAAACAGGAUUAGAUACCCUUGUAGUC